CAAGGGAUAUUGCGCAAUGGGGGAAAGCCUGAAGCAGCGACGCCGCGUGGGGGAAGAAGGCCUUCGGGUCGUAAAGCCCUUUUGCCAGGGACGAGGAAGGACGGUCCCUGGCGAAUAAGCCCCGGCUAACUCCGUG
rnacentral:rRNA from 1 species